rnacentral:rRNA from 1 species
CCGCGUGAGCGAUGAAGCCCUUCGGGGUGUAAAGCUCUUUCGGCAGGAACGAUAAUGACGGUACCUGCAGAAGAAGCUGCGGCUAACUACGUGCCAGCAGCCGCGGUAAUACGUAGGCAGCGAGCGUUGUUCGGAAUUACUGGGCGUAAAGAGUGUGUAGGUGGUGUCGUAAGUUUGGUGUGAAAC